GAUUUCAAUUGUAAAAAUCAUCAACAACAAAGUUAUAUAACUCAUCAAGAUCUAUAACUCUUAUUUUGGUCAUUUCUUUAUCCGAUAAAGUGAUAGUAACAUUGUUCACAAAAUUUACAUAUCUCUCAUUUGGUUUUAUAAACUAUAAGAGAGAGAUGUAAAUUUUAUGAACAAUAUUACUAUCACUUUGUCGGAUGAAGAAAUGACCAAAUAAAAGUUGUAUGUCUUGAUGAGUUCUACAACUUUUAUGUUCAUGACUUUUUCAGCUGAAAUU
rnacentral:pre_miRNA from 1 species